rnacentral:rRNA from 1 species
UACGUAGGGUGCAAGCGUUAAUCGGAAUUACUGGGCGUAAAGCGUGCGCAGGCGGCUUUGCAAGACAGAUGUGAAAUCCCCGGGCUUAACCUGGGGACUGCAUUUGUGACUGCAAGGCUAGAGUACGGUAGAGGGGGAUGGAAUUCCGCGUGUAGCAGUGAAAUGCGUAGAUAUGCGGAGGAACACCGAUGGCGAAGGCAAUCCUCUGGACCUGUACUGACGCUCAUGCACGAAAGCGUGGGGAGCAAACAGG